rnacentral:rRNA from 1 species
AUGUGGUUUAAUUCGAAGCAACGCGAAGAACCUUACCAGGUCUUGACAUCCCUGACAACCCGAGAGAUCGGGCGUUCCCCUUCGGGGGACAGGGUGACAGGUGGUGCAUGGUUGUCGUCAGCUCGUGUCGUGAGAUGUUGGGUUAAGUCCCGCAACGAGCGCAACCCUCGACCUUAGUUGCCAGCAUUCAGUUGGGCACUCUAAGGUGACUGCCGGCUAAAAGUCGGAGGAAGUGGGGAUGACGUCAAAUCAUCAUGCCCCUUAUGACCUGGGCUACACACGUGCUACAAUGGGCGGUACAAAGGGUCGCGAAGGAGCGAUCCGGAGCCAAUCCCAAAAAGCCGGUCUCAGUUCGGAUUGCAGGCUGCAACUCGCCUGCAUGAAGUCGGAAUCGCUAGUAAUCGCGAGUCAGCAUAUCGCGGUGAAUACGUUCCCGGGUCUU